rnacentral:rRNA from 1 species
UGCCCCUUUGUGGUCGGUGUACAGGUGGUGCAUGGUUGUCGUCAGCUCGUGUCGUGAGAUGUUGGGUUAAGUCCCGCAACGAGCGCAACCCUUGUCAUUAGUUGCCAUCAUUUGGUUGGGCACUCUAAUGAGACUGCCGGUGACAAACCGGAGGAAGGUGGGGAUGACGUCAAGUCCUCAUGGCCCUUAUGGGUAGGGCUUCACACGUCAUACAAUGGUCGGUACAGAGGGUUGCCAACCCGCGAGGGGGGAGCUAAUCCCACAAAGCCGAUCGUAGUCCGGAUCGCAGUCUGCAACUCGACUGCGUGAAGUCGGAAUCGCUAGUAAUCGUGGAUCAGCAUGUCACGGUGAAUACGUUCCCGGGUCUU